UGUUGAGUGCAUGCUUCUUCUUCUUGAUCCAGGCUUCUUGAGACAUGACAGACUGCUUGGCCGACUCUACUUCAGCUCUUGCCGACUUUACUUCGACUCUUGUCGACUCUAACUCGGCUUUUAUUCAAAAGAUCUCUUCCAGAUGUUUCUCCUCCCACUCUAUUGCCACCUGGAGGUGUUCAACGGCAGCAGCCUUCUCGAUGUUUGCGGUCGAAAUCAUAUCCUUCCACAUUCAAUGGAAGCCCAUGAUCUUCCGAUACCCACUCUCCAGUGUCGACAUGUUG
rnacentral:lncRNA from 1 species